UCUCCUGCUUGUUUUGUGUCUCAUAUGUUUAUCCUUUCUUCAGAAAAGUUCUGAAGCCCAAUUCAUUUGAUUAAAUCUAAAUGUUUGUGUAUUUUGUUCUAGUUUACUGUAGCCGACUUUAAAAACAGAAAAUUCAGACAAGAUUGCACAGACCCAAAGCCAAAAGCCCAGCUAUAUCUGUACCAGAUACCUCAUAUCCUGACAUUGUCAGAAUUUGUUUGUCAGUCUUAAUUUCACAACAAGUUAAAGUAUAACUAACCAUUGAAAACAAUUAGUGAUUGUUUAGUGAAAACAGUAGUUAUGCAAGUUUCCCUUCUCUUGCUCUCUAAUGGAGAGAAAAAAAAGGAAAUGCAUCACAGAACUUGUAUGCCCUAUCAGCUUACUCUUUACAAAGCUUUGAUUCUUGUUGGUGUUUAUCAGUGCAGUUCCUAUCCUGGAAUCUCCUGCCUUGACCGUGAGACAUUUCACAGUCACAUUUCACACUGCAUGUGUGAUGAGGAUGAUUCACAAUUCUGUAAUCCCACAGUAUGCUCCAAUCCAAACAAAGUGUGUCCCUAUAUCUGUUCGUCAUUCUCAGCAGGUCAAGAUACGCAGGAUACAUUUCCUGUAAGCGUCUAUUGAAGUGUUCUUCCUUUCUAUACAAGUGGAAGUAUAAAGAAUAUUUUAGCUCCCACAACUUAAAACAAAGACUGGAUAUUAGUCAUCAUGCAAAUAGGCUCUAGUUUCUUUUUUUUUUCCCAAGUCCUAUGUCACUAGAGUAACUGAGUCCUCUCAAUUCCCAGAAAUGUGGUAAAAAUUAGGCUGGAAGGAGGAGAUAGACGGAAGAGUGAGGGGAAAGUAAAAACAGACUAAAUAGCUGUGACUAAUAAAAUAAGCAGAAAGAGAAAUAACUGAUAUAUAUUUUGUUUUAGUACGUAAUGAAAAUGUGGCAUUGUUAGAACAGCUUGUUAAUUCUGCACGCUUAAAGUGGGAUGGCAAAUUCAUGAAGCAGUCCUGGAUUAGAUUCAGUAUUACUGGAAAUUUUGAAAAUGAUGUGGUGAAAUUAUAUUAGCAGUAGCAUAUUAUACCAAAACUCCAAACCAGCACAUAAUGAAAAAACACUCCUUGUUUGAAACACACGCAAAAAAAGCUUAUCAAAUGUACAUGGAAAAAUUGAAGUGCCAUAUGAAGUGAAUCUCUUAAUGUUUACAUCGAAUAACAGUAUUGUUAUUGCAGAUAAACACAGCCACAUAUUUAAGAGAGCAUGCGCAAACAAAAGAGAAUUGCAAACAAGCCUCAGAGCUAAUGAGCCUAACUGAGACCCUGUGAUUGAUAGUAAAUCUCUGUGGCAACUUCUGGUAUCUAUCUGUUUUCAGUUUCGGGCCCUCGUGACAAGAAACGCAUUGAGACUCUGGAACACGCCCAGAGCAGGGCAACAAAGCUGGUGAAGGGUCAGGAAUACAAGUAUUAUGAGGAGCAGCUCGGGAAAGUGGGAUUGCUUAGUGCCCAGAAGAAGGGGCCCAGGAGUUAAGAAAAUCUGCAACGCAUGAGUUAUUCAAACAGAAUAUUGCAAAUCUUCACUGAUUGAGCUACCAAAAAACGUCUCGAGGGCAUUCAUUCAUAGUUCAUGUUGAAAGCAGAAUCACAGAAUGAAUGAGAUUGGAAGGGACCUUUGGAGGCCAUCUGGUCCAACCACCCUGAUCAAGCCUAGAGCAAGCUGCAGAGGACCAUGUCCAUAGACCAUGUACAGAUGACAUCUGAAUAUCUCCAAGGAUGGAGACUCUACAUCCUCUCUUAGCAACCUGUGCCAGGGCUCAGACAUCUACAAAUAAAUAAAUAAAUAAAUAAAGUUCUCUGAUGUUGAAUCUCCCAUGUUUCAGAUUCUGCCCAUUGUCUCUUUCAGUGAUACUCAGGGAUAGGAGAAAAGAGCCUGGCUCUAUCCUCUUUGUUCCCUUUUUUCAGAUCCUCUCAAUCCUUCUUUCCUCUAGGCUGAAUUGUCCCAGCUCUCUCAGCCCUUCCUCAUAAGAAUCAAACAAUCACUAAGAUUGGAAAAGAUUUCUAAGAUUAAGCCCAACUACCAACCUAUCGACUAUGCCCACCAAACCAUGUCCCUAAGUGCUAUAUCUACAUAUUACUUGAAAACCUCCGGGGUGGUGACUGCUCUACUUCCCUGGGCAGCCAAUGCUUGACCACUCUUUCAGAUGACAAAUUUUUCCUCAAAUCCAACAUGAACCUCCUCAGGCACAACUAGAUGCCAUUAGCUCUCAUCCUAUUGCUAGUGACCUGUACAAAAAGACCAACUCUCACCUUGCUACAAACUCCUUUCAGGUAGCUAUACAAAGCCAUAAGGUCUCCCUUAAGCCUCCUCCAGAAUAAACAAUCUCAGUUCCCACAGCUGCUGCUCCUCAUAAAGUAUGUGGAUUCAGCUUCAGGUGGAUUUUAAUCCCAUCCACAACCAGUCUCUAAACCUGGCCACCCAGCCAAUUUUUUCACCCAACGAAGAGCACACCCCUCUCAGCUGUGAGCUGCCACUUUCUCCAAGAAAAUGCUGUGGGUGAUGGUGUCAAAGGCGUUACCGACAUCGAGGCAGACCACAUCCAUAGUCUUUCCCUCAUACUCUAGGCAGGUCACCUAUAUAGAAGGAGAUCAGAUUGGUCAGGCAGGAUCCUGCCUUUCAUGAACCGCCUGAUCCCCGGUUGUCCUGCAUACGCAGCGUGACCACUCCCCAGAUUAUCUGCUCCACAGCCUUCCCUGAUAUUGAGGUCAGGAUGACAGUCUCCCAGAUCUUCCUUCUGACAACUUUUGUAGAUAGGCAUCA